rnacentral:lncRNA from 1 species
GUGGUCAGAGGGUCAGGGGGAAGACAGAGGGAGAUUUUUUAACACGGAACCACAAGGAAGGAGAGGCCCCCGGAGAGGACGGACGUCAGAGGCCAGAGGGCGGCUUCCUGGGGUGCUGUGAGAGACUUGUCACCUGCUGGGUGGGGCAGUCUCUGCUGGUGUCUCACGAGGUCUCGGGCUUGGCACCUGAGGCAUGCAAAGUCACGUUUGCCAUGGCGGGCACAAUAAUAGUGGCAAGAAUAAUAAUAUCGAUAACGCAUCCUGACCAUGUGUCUCUGUAGCCCUGUCACCUCCUCACCACCGUCCCAUAAGACGGGACCCUGCGAGGCAGACGCAGCCUGCACACAGAGGAGGGAGGGGAGGCUGCUGGGGCUCCGGCCUGUGCUUUCGCCUCCAGACCAUGGAGCUUCUUCACCCACAUGCUGGGUGCCGUCCAGCCUGAGGCCUGUGUGCAGGGUCCCGGUUUCAAGCCCCGAUUCCCACCUGCUAACUGUGACCCAGGAAGCCCCACCCCCCGCAGCCCUCAGUUUCUUCACCUGCCAAACUCCCUGCCUUCGAGGUGAGAGAUUACGUAAGUAAGGUCCCGCUGGGGCUCAGCUGCCCAACUCUGAUCAGAAAGAAGAGCUGUAAGUCUGGCUGGGCGGUGGCUCAUGCCUCUAAUCCCAGCACUUUGGGAGGCCAAAGAGGAUGGACUGCUUGAGCCCAGGAGUUCGGGACCAGCCUGGGUAAUGUGGCGAAACCCUGUCUCUACAAAAAAUACAAAAAUUAGCCAGAUGUGGUGAUGUGCGGCUGUAGUCCCAGCUACUCAGGAGGCUGAGGUGGGAGGAUCACUUGAGGCCAGGAGGUCAAGGCUGCCAUGAGCUAAGAUCACAACACUGCAUUCCGGCCUGGGUAACAGAGCAAGACCAUGUCUCUAAGAGAGGGGGGAAAAAAAGCCAUGGGUGUCUAAGCUGCAAGGCCCCCCAAAUCCCUGAAUCCCACUAACCAUCUCCCAAGUGAGUAGAGGGAGGCCAAGAGAGGGCAAGCAGCUGUCUCAUGUCUUCCCUGAAGGAACCCUCUCAUGGGACAGCUGGACACAGCCAGGCGGGAAGGACUCUUCACCAGCCCCGUCUCCAUAGUCCCGGCUGCCAUCACUGCUGGCAUCGACACUGACCCUCCAGCUCCAGCACCAGGUCACCACCCUGCCCCUCAUCCAUCCUCCUCCUCCACGCGUGAUGAAUGAGCUUUUCUCAUUCAAUCAUUCUCAGGGGCAGCAUAGCGUGGCCAGUAGGAAGGAGGAUGCGGGAGCCAGCCUGCCUGGCUCCACCACCCACCAGCUGCUUUUAUUCCCUGCCUGCUCUAGUUCCCUGGCUGUAAAAUGGGGAUACAAAUAAUAUCUUCCUCAUCAGGUCACUGGGAGGCUUAAAUAAGCCCAUACUGUAAAGUGCUUAGAACAGGGCCUGCCACGUAGUAAGUACUCCAUAAUUGCUAUCAUUCAUCCAUUCAUUCAUUCAUUCAUUCAUUCGUGAAUUCUAUCCUGCCUGUUUCUGAAAGAGUUGAGAUGACUCACAGUGGAAAUGCAAUGAUAACAGGCCUUUAAAUUCAGAUUAAAAGAACACAAGCCUAGGCUGCAGAGGAGAGAGUGUCCCAGAAUCUGAGCCAAGCAAGCCUCACCUGAAUACAACCUCCCGGCGUCUCAUCCAAAACAUAAAGGUUGCUGGUAUCAAUUCUCCUUUUCUGAUGAAAGGAAGCAUAACAGCUUUCCAGCGGAAUAGAAGAUUUUUUUUUGGUUCAAACUUUAUGAAUGACAUUAAACAAUGCAAUGAGUAGCCUCCCCCUCACCUCACCCUGUCCGCCUUUUUAAUCAACUCCUGAGAAAUGGGGUCUGCUCUUCUUCCCAUCCCACUCCCCAUCUCCAGACCCUGCGGAAGCCUGUGGUCCUGGAGAGCCUGAGAGCCCUCAGAGCGAUACCUUCAGCUAUCCCAGGAGAAGGACACUCUUCGCUUUCAGCACCAGGGGAAAACUAGGAAAAAGCCAAGCCACUGAGUCAAUGAGGGCCUUCCCUCAGCUGCAGACAGCAAGCCCCUUCCAGGCGCUUCCCCGCAGCUACGGCAGCAAGUGCCCCAGGGGCAGGGCCGGGAAUGCUCACUGAGAAAUCCCAGAGCUGCCUGCACUUCCUCUCACCGGCUUCCCCUUCUCUCAGCAGCCACAGGCACGGGAAAGCUGCUGAUUCCCGGAGGACCACUUACACCAAGCACUGUGAGCUGAUCGAUGGCAGAGUCUCUCCAGCUCAUGAGUCUUCAGUGACUCCCCAUUGUCCAUGGAAAACAGAAGACACCUGAGGCCUUGCACAGUGGACCUUAUUCUCAUCCCUCCCUCAGGAGAAUCCUCUGCCUCGAGCCGAAGGCCGUGGGCUCUGCAGACUCCAGGCCUCUCCUUCCCAGGGCGGUCUUCCCUUUCCCUAUGCUCAAGGCACAGCCCAAGUCCCACCUCCUCCAUUGCAAGGGACACCACCCUCUGAAUUCCUGUUGGGGAAAGAGCCUAGUUUUGCAGCCAGAUAGGCCCGAGUUAGAGUCUCAGCUCAGUUCCAAUCCCAUUAGCUGGUUGCAAGUCAUUAACUUUGUCAACCUUCAGUAAAUGGAAAUCAGGCCCACACUGUAGGUGCCUGGGGGUGCUGAUGGUUGAGUGGAAUCUGUUCUUUUGACCUUCCCAGCAUCUUUCCCCUUCCCAGCAUCCUUUCCCCUUUCUUUUGGUGAUGUCGCCUGGAUUUUCUGUUGGGUAUGUGGUCCAGGGGUGGCUGACCUCACUUCCUGGUUCCAGCAUAAGAUCAUGACUGAGAGCUGGCCAAUGAGAAUAUUCCCUCGCCCCAGCCACAGAGUCAGAUUCCCGGGGAUGAACUUGUGAGUCAAAACAGGCUGGUGGGAACACACUUGGGGUGUUAGCUGGAGUUAUUGAAGCUUUCUUUCCCACUGGAGUCACUAGGUAGAUAGAAGGAAAGCUGAAGCCUUUAGCCACUGCUGUGGGUUGAAGUGUGUACCCCAAAAAGAUAUGUUCAAAUUCUAAUCCCCUGCACCUUUGGAGGUGGCCUUGUUUGGAAAAAGGGUCUUUGCAGAUGUAGGCAAGUGAAGAUGAAGCCAUCCUGGAUCAGGGUGGCUUGUGGCUUGUGUCCAAUGCCUUGUGUCCUUCUAAGAAGAGAGAAAUCGAGACACAGACACACACAGGGAAAAGGCCGAGUGAUGACAGCAGCAGAGAUGGGAGCGCGGCAGCUACAAGCUGAGGGAUGCCAAGCAUGGCUGGCACCACCCAGGAGCCUGGAGAGAGGGAGGGGACAGCCUCCUCCUUAGAGCCUCGAAACACCCUACCCACAUCCUGGCUUCAGACUUCCAGCCUGCACAACUGGGAGAGAAUCACUUUCUGCUGUGUUAAGCUACACUAGUUCAUGGUGAUUUGUUACAGCAGCUGCAGGAAAUGAACACAGACACCAAAUGGAGAUACUGUGUCUGAGAUUGAAGCCAGCACCGUGGAAUCAGAGCUGCCAGGAGGGAGACGUGGACUCUCGACCCUGUGGCCACACUUGGUUCCCCCAGCAGCUGAAGCACGAAGUCUACUGGACUUACUAGACUUUCCAGUUACCUGGACCAAUAUAUUCUCUGUUUUACUUAAGCUGUUUCGAUUGGAUUUCUGGCUAUUUCAACUGAGAGAGGCCUAACUCUCAGUUAUACAGAGACAAUGGAUGUAAAAUGCAUUGAAGGCCAGGCACAGUGGCUCGCGCCUGUAAUCCCAACACUUUGGAAAGCCAAGGCAGGAGGAUGGCUUGAGCCCAGGAGUACGAGACCAGCCUGGGAGACGUGGCAAAACGAAACCCCGUUUCUACAAAAAAAUACAUUAAACCAUUUUAAAAAGAAAAUAUAAAAUGUAUUGCAUGCUGCCUGGCCAAUGGGAGACAGUGGAGUGAAUGUAGGAAGUAGUUAGUAGAGUAAAUGGUAUUUAUU